GCAGCUCCAAACGUAUUUGAGCUGCGUUCUAUUGAACGCAGCUCCACAUAUGGUAUAAAUUGAAACAAACCCUAAUUAAAACAAACACUUUUGAAAUUUCCCAAUCCCUAAUCUCAGCUCAACCUCCCGAUCCAAUCUUGCCGCCGUGCUCUCAAGAGCUCUCGCCACCGUGCUCUCAACCCACUACCCACAAACCUCACGCCUCCUCCCUCAUCAAAACCCGAAAAAUUUGCUGACCGAAGAGACCCAAGCUCUUCACUGGCGAGGCUUGCUCUGUCACCGGCAGGCUGUCACUCCACUUGAUCAAGUUUAAACGCACAAGUGAAACAAAACAAAACAUGGCCAUGAAACCUAAAACCCACAACGGAAAUGGCAACUCCAGCGACAACAACGGCAGCGGAGGAAGACAUGGUGAUUAGUAUGGUGGCUGCUUGUGUUAACCUCAGUACCUCGUUUCAUGGUGAAACCGGGUUCUGGGUCCGGUUCCGAUUCUAAUAAAGCCUCUCAGAAUGUUGUGUUUGUAGACACCAGCCUGGACACCACUUGGCCAUGUUUGUUUCAAAUUCCAACACCGUUUCCGACCUCAAAAUUUCUAUUCCUAAUGACCUUUACAUGUCGUCAACUUGCAAAGAAAAUUCUUUAUGAGCACCCACUGUGCUUUCCUAACACUGGGAAGAUACAAAUUCAUGCUCUAAAGGUAAAGCGCAAAGGAUACUUUUACCACUUAUCAGAUUCCAUGUUUGUAAAAAGUUCUUUUGAUGGAAUCAAGAAGAAUUGCUUUCUUUGUGUUGAUGCCUCUCAUUCAAUGGAGCAUGGUGAAAAUCAACAGCCAUUUGGAUCAUCAACAGCCUCGAUGCCAUCGUUUUCUCCAGAUUCAGAGGUGGUUUAACGAGAAGGGCAACACCACCUGUGAAAUAUGCCUCCAGGCUAGGCAAGUUCAUCCAGAUAAAAAUCCAAACGACUCUCAAGCGGCUUAAAGAUUUCAGGCUAGUUCAUCCAGAUAAAAAUCUACUAAUUUUUCCCUUAUAGAAAAAUUCAGGUUUUGGCUUUUCAAUACUAUAGAAACAAUAAGGAAUCUACUAACAGAAAUUUUUUAAUUUUAAUACUAUUUCCUCUACUCUAGUGUUGUGGAAUGACCUAUUUUACACAAAUUUUGGCUUCAUUUCUUCAACUUUUAUUUCAGAAGGUGUUGUUAGACCAGGCCAACAGUCAAACACAACAUUGCAUUGUCCUAAACUUAAUUAUGAUUGCAUUGUUCUAAUAUGCUUCUCAUGUGUUAAGGGUUGGUCAUUUCUUUCUCUUCCAUAUAUUCUUUGAUUCUUUUAUUUUUAAUCCUAUGGUUAGGAUUUGUAUGUUAAUUUUACACAAAUUUGGCUGUCUCUAGGCCUAAAUUUUAUAUCCAACUGCUUUGGGCUAGUGAACAUUACCCAAUCUACGCCUUUUGAGGAGACCUUCUCUCUCUCUCUCUCUCUCUCUUCUUAUAUAUAUACCUCUCUUUGUCACUAUUGUUUCUUGUGCAGUAGUAGUUGUAGUAGUAGUAAAUUCAAAAGCAGAGUUUUGUGUUUGUAUUACUUUUUGCAACCACCUAGGCUAGAAGAGAGGAAGAAGUAAGAAGAAGAAGAAUAUAGAGGUUUGAUCCAACAGAAGAGGCAGAGAAAGAGAGAGCAGCCCAUAUAGGGUCAAAGUCUACAACAUGCAUCCAAGGGUGGUCAAACCCAUCAAAAAAGUACAAGUUGUUUACUAUCUCUCAAGAAAUGGCCAUCUUGAACACCCACAUUACAUGGAAGUCACCCAUUUAGUCAAUCAACCUCUUCGUUUAAGAGGUUUUCCUAAAGCAGCAUCUUACAAAUGUUGUCUUUUGACUCCAAUUUUGGUGAUGAAGGUUAAGAAUUUAAUAGCUUGAUUUGGUUAUUGUGAAUUGGCUCCUGCAAAUCUUUCUAGUCAACUGGUUCCACAACUUGGUCAGCUUUUAAAUCUGCAAUACUUGGCCUGUGAAACGAUCAUGUUUAUUGAAGGUGAACGAUCAGCAAUAAGACAGAUCGAUCCAAUAGGAUCAGGUGGGAACUUUGUGAUGUUUUUAUUUUGUGAUGUAAAAACCAAAGUUUGUUGGGAACUUUUAUUUUAUAUGUAAUUAUUUGGAUAUGUAAUUAAUCUUUUGGCAACGAACAUAAUUGUUUUGUUUAUGUAAAAUUAUCGUUUAUGUAAUUAAUAUUUUGGUAAUGAUUUGAUACUAUAUAGUAUCAAAUAUGCAAUUUGUUUUGUUGGUUCA